UACGGAGGGUGCAAGCGUUAUCCGGAUUCACUGGGUUUAAAGGGUGCGUAGGCGGGCCGGUAAGUCAGUGGUGAAAUCUCUGGGCUUAACCCAGAAACUGCCGUUGAUACUAUUUGUCUUGAAUAUCCUGGAGGUAGGCGGAAUAUGUCAUGUAGCGGUGAAAUGCUUAGAUAUGACAUAGAACACCGAUAGCGAAGGCAGCUUACUACAGGAUGAUUGACGCUGAGGCACGAAAGCGUGGGGAGCAAACAGG
rnacentral:rRNA from 1 species